rnacentral:lncRNA from 1 species
AGGGUAUAAAUAUAGGCUGAAAGACAAUGUAAAGGAUAUAUAUCAAUCAAUAUCAAAUACAAAUUUACUCCUACUUUUGCAUCUACUUUUCGACAACUUCAUCAGUUUACAUACUUUUCUUUUUACGAGUUCUCAUCGAUUCGACGAGUUACACGUUCCAGUGUAAUUCUCGACGAUCCUCGAGUUCUGCGUGGGCACCUCUUGGCCGUGACAUCAGGACGCAUCGCUGUGAUCGGGACCAAAGUGUUUAAAUUUUCGUCCUUGUCGAUUAUUAGGUCAAAUCGACUGGCACAUCUUGAAAUCGAAAUCGGGUAUUAGUCUUUUGUGUUUGCCGAUCCACUUUUGCAACAACACAAUGUUAGAUGUGCAUCGUGAUACUAUUGUUAAUAAUGAUUUAUUUUUAUUUUGGAAAUGUUAUGCUUCCACUAUGCCAGAAACACACAAACAAGACAUUACAUCACAAACUGACCAACAUUAGAGAUGGGGUCCAACCGUACGCAUCUCUGAUAUUUGCUUUCCACAAGCUACGUAUGAGGUCGCCUCUCAUCAUACAUGCGCCGCCCCUGUUAAGGCCCAUCUAUGAUGGGAGAGCACACACGAUACCAUAACCCAAAACUAACAUUGGACAUGGAUCUGUACAAGUAUCAAAGCACCGAUGGAAGAUUGCUAAGGCCAGUCUUAAUAAAAUUUUCAUGUGAGUUUUAUUUGCAUUAAAUAAGUUAUCAUAUAAACUUUUUGAGGACAUGGCGGUCACUGCUACAUAAUGGGGCUUUAGCCUCGGCUGGGAAGGGGCUUUAGCUCCGGAUUCCGAGCCAGGACUAGGCUUGCGAGACUAAAGGCCCCCUUUUAGUCACGGCUCCGUGCACCAGGGCUAAAGCCCCCUCUUUAGUCCCGGACAGUAUUACUAGUCGGGACUAAAGGGUGCUGCCAGUUGUGCCACGUAGCAGCACCCUUUAGUCCCAGCUCGUAAUACCGCCUGGGACUAAAGGGGCCCCUGGUUUUUUCUUUUUUCUUUUCUUUUCAGUUUUGUUUUUUAGUUUUGUUUACUUAUACACUAGGUUUUCCAAUAUGUAUUCAUUGCUACUAAUAUAUAUAAUAUAUAUUAUAUAUACUAGCAGCAUAUGACAAUAAGCUUAUUGCAUGCAUAUAUAAUUGGAUUGUAGAACCUAUAUAUAUAUAUAUAUAUAAUUUUACGCACAUAAAACUAUAUAUAUAUAGAAGUUGUUCUCCAAAUCUAUAACAAGUUGUACUCCAAAGUUACUACUCUAGAAGUUGUACUCAAAUGCAGGGAAAUAACCCACCUCACGGUCCGGACACUUGUAGAAUAUAACUUCACUACUACAGAAGAGGCCUUUGGACGAUUGCCAAAAUCGCCAAUAGUCUCGACAAUUUUAGUCCCCGAGAUUAAAGGCACCUUUAGUCCCGGCCCGUAACACGUGCCGGGACUAAAGGGUCCUGCCCAACGGCUACCUAACGGUUACCUGUCAGGGUUGUCGGGGCAGGGACCCUUUAGUUCCGACUCGUGUUACGGUCUGGGACUAAAGGUGUCCCAUUAGUCCCAGGGCAAGCCAACAGCCGGGACUAAAGAUUUAGCUCCGGUUGGUGGCUUGCCCCGGGACUAAGGGGACUCCUUUUAGUCCCUAUUCUUUCUUCAGCUCGGUCCCUGUUCUUUCUUCAGCCCGAGACUAAAAGCCCACGCUAUAAAUCAUGGUCACUUCUUUCUGGUCGAGGCCGAGCCCAUUCAAAUUUCAUUGAGCUGUUCUUGCUCUUGCCAUUGCUAGUUCUUGCUUGUUCUUCAUCUCCGGCGCCCAUUGGUGAUCUUCUUCGACUUCACCAUCGACUCUUCGUGUUUAUAGGUAACUAGCUUCAUCCUCCAAUGUAAAAAAAAUCUCAAAUAAUUAAUUAAUACAUAAUAUCUUUACAACCCACUAUCAAGUAGGCACAACAAUGAACCGCUUUUUGACAUGUUAUUACAAUCCUUUUAAUAAUCACCUCAUAUGUCCUCAAUUUUGGCGCCACUGACAUUGUUGAUGUUGAGCAGCAGG